rnacentral:rRNA from 1 species
GAUGAACGCUGGCGGCGUGCCUAAUACAUGCAAGUCGAGCGAACAGACGAGGAGCUUGCUCCUCUGACGUUAGCGGCGGACGGGUGAGUAACACGUGGACAACCUACCUAUAAGACUGGGAUAACUUCGGGAAACCGGAGCUAAUACCGGAUAAUAUAUUGAACCGCAUGGUUCAAUAGUGAAAGACGGUUUUGCUGUCACUUAUAGAUGGACCCGCGCCGCAUUAGCUAGUUGGUAAGGUAACGGCUUACCAAGGCAACGAUGCGUAGCCGAGCUGAGAGAGGGAUAGGCCCCACUGGAACUUAGACACGCUCCACGCUCCUGCGCGAGGCAACAGACAGCAAUCUUCCGCAGCGGGCGAGAACCUGCCGCAGCGGCGCCACGUGUGUGCUAAAGGUCUUCGGAUCGUAAAAAUCUGAUAUUCGGGAAGAGCAUCUGUAUAAGUGACUAUACACGUCUUGACGGUACCUGGACAGAAAGCACCGGCUAACUCCGUG